rnacentral:pre_miRNA from 1 species
UAAAUACUCCCUCUGUCCAACAAAAGAUGUCUCAAGUUUGUCAAAAUUUGGAUGUAUCUAGACAUGACUUGGUGUAUAGAUGCAUUCAAAUUUAGUCAAAGUUGAGACAUACUUUGUUGGACGGAGGAAUUACCUC